rnacentral:rRNA from 1 species
AACGAACGCUGGCGGCAUGCCUAACACAUGCAAGUCGAACGAGACCUUCGGGUCUAGUGGCGCACGGGUGCGUAACGCGCGGGAACCUGCCCUUAGGUUCGGAAUAACUCCCCGAAAGGGGUGCUAAUACCGGAUAAUGUCUCCGGACCAAAGAUUUAUCGCCUUUGGAUGGGCCCGCGUUGGAUUAGCUAGUUGGUAGGGUAAAAGCCUACCAAGGCGACGAUCCAUAGCUGGUCUGAGAGGAUGAUCAGCCACACUGGGACUGAGACACGGCCCAGACUCCUACGGGAGGCAGCAGUGGGGAAUAUUGGACAAUGGGCGAAAGCCUGAUCCAGCAAUGCCGCGUGAGUGAUGAAGGCCUUAGGGUUGUAAAGCUCUUUUACCUGGGAUGAUAAUGACAGUACCGGGAGAAUAAGCUCCGGCUAACUCCGUG